AACGAACGCUGGCGGCAGGCCUAACACAUGCAAGUCGAGCGCCCCGCAAGGGGAGCGGCGGACGGGUGAGUAACGCGUGGGAACGUGCCCCUUUCUACGGAAUAGCCUCGGGAAACUGGGAGUAAUACCGUAUAAGCCCUACGGGGGAAAGAUUUAUCGGGAAGGGAUCGGCCCGCGUUGGAUUAGGUAGUUGGUGGGGUAAUGGCCUACCAAGCCGACGAUCCAUAGCUGGUUUGAGAGGAUGAUCAACCACACUGGGACUGAGACACGGCCCAGACUCCUACGGGAGGCAGCAGUGGGGAAUCUUAGACAAUGGGCGCAAGCCUGAUCUAGCCAUGCCGCGUGAGCGAUGAAGGCCUUAGGGUUGUAAAGCUCUUUCAGUGGGGAAGAUAAUGACUGUACCCACAGAAGAAGCCCCGGCUAACUCCGUGCCAGCCGCCGCCGUAAUAC
rnacentral:rRNA from 1 species